GCCCUAGUGGCUCAACAUUUAAGUACUCAGCUGAUAACUGAAAGGUUGGUAGUUCAAACCCACCCAGUGGCU
rnacentral:tRNA from 1 species